rnacentral:rRNA from 1 species
GACGAACGCUGGCGGCGUGCUUAACACAUGCAAGUCGAGCGGUAAGGCCCUUUCGGGGGUACACGAGCGGCGAACGGGUGAGUAACACGUGGGUGACCUGCCCUCAGCUCUGGGAUAAGCCUGGGAAACCGGGUCUAAUACCGGAUAUGACUCCAUGACGCAUGUUGUGGGGUGGAAAGCCUUGUGCGGCUGAGGAUGGGCCCGCGGCCUAUCAGCUUGUUGGUGGGGUGANGGCCUACCAAGGCGACGACGGGUAGCCGGCCUGAGAGGGCGACCGGCCACACUGGGACUGAGACACGGCCCAGGACUCCUACGGGAGGCAGCAGUGGGGAAUCUUGCGCAAUGGGCAAAAGCCUGACGCAGCGACGCCGCGUGAGGG